GUUGUUGCGGUUAAAACGUUCGUAGUUGAAUUUGUGUCCCACACGGGUAAUUGGCCCACUUACGGGUUCUUAUUACUUGCCGGCUUGCUGGCUUUAGUGUGCGGACGUUUUACCGGUGAGGGAAACGGUGUAGUUUCGGCUGCAAUACGCCCCUUAUUUAUUUCAUAAACCCGUCUUGGUGCUUUUAAUCGAGUGCCAAUGUGGGCCGGUACUAUUACUUUGAACAAAUUAGAGUGCUUAAAGCAGGCUAAAUUUAAUGAAAGUUAAAACGCCUGAAUAUAUUUUGCAUGGAAUAAUGGAAUAGGACCUCUGUUCUACUUUCAUUGGUUUUUAGACCAAGAGGUAAUGAUUAAUAGAAGCAGUUGGGGGCAUUAGUAUUACGAGGCGAGAGGUGAAAUUCGUAGACCCUCGUAAGACUAACUUAAGCGAAAGCAUUUGCCAAGGAUGUUUUCAUUAAUCAAGAACGAAAGUUAGAGGAUCGAAGGCGAUCAGAUACCGCCCUAGUUCUAACCAUAAACGAUGCCAGCUAGCAAUUGUAUGUAGCUACUAAUUUUGGUUCAUACAGUCGCUUUCCGGGAAACCAAAGCUUUUGGGCUCCGGGGGAAGUAUGGUUGCAAAGCUGAAACUUA
rnacentral:rRNA from 1 species